rnacentral:tmRNA from 1 species
GGGGGUGACUGGUUUCGACUUCGUGCGUCGAGGCAGGUGAAGCGAGCCGAGGAAGCCGACGUUGUCUCGUGAAUCAGUCGUCGGAAAAAAAUAAGCGCCAACAUCAAGCGCGAUCAGCUCGCCCUCGCCGCCUGAGGCUAGGAACGAGCUUGUCGGUCCGGGGGAGCCUUCGCCCCGGUACACCGGCAUCAGAUAGAAGGCUGGCCAAUCGAACCCGGUCGCGGGGGUCGUGCGGCGAGAUUAAUUGCGACUGGGCCCGUCACACCGACUCGCUCGCGUGAUCGGAGGGGCCGAGUAGAGGCAUAGCGAGCUGCGCUCGGAGAAGCCCUGGCAACACGACGAAGGACCCGGGUUCGAUUCCCGGCACCUCCAC